GAUUAGAAAUUCUUAUUUUCAUGGGUGCAUCAAAUCUUAAUUGGAUUAGGAUUAAAUUGAGUUUGACUCAAGCACCAAACAAGAGUCCAAAAGGACUAGGACUCCUUCUCCAAUUAGGUGACAUCUAAUCUAAAUAAUUUAGGCUCCAAAUUAGAUUAGUUCUCCAUCUAUUUGGAUCUAAUCUAAUCCUAAUAUAAUUAGGAUUGAUUAAAAUUUUAUUUGAUUUAAAACAGCCCCCUAAUCUAAGAGUCCCAUG
rnacentral:lncRNA from 1 species